UUUUUUUUUUUUUUUUUUGUUUUUGCCUAUAGCUUUUACUUGAGCCCCUAAUUUUUUUUUCUUUUGUCCAAUUUCUUCUUUUCAUCAGCAUUCACUCCACUGGGAAACUUAUGAAUUUAAGUUUUAGAAUUUUGCACUGCGAGCCAUCUAUCAAUGUGGAGUUUUACCCUAUUGACAGAAUAAAGAUGUGAUUAGAUUUCAAAUUGCUAGGUAAUUAAAUUACAAAUAUUUCAGAAAGGGAAGCAGGUGCUACAAGAAGAACAGGAUGAUAUAUAAUAACCGAAAACAUCAUUCAAAUUGUUUUUUUUUUAAAAAAGGUAAACUUUCUCCCUUUUUACACGCUUAGUCCUUAUAGUUUCAUAUAUUUGUAUCUCAAUCAUCGUUUCUUACAAGAUAUGCAUCCAUUUGAUCCUUAUCCAUCCAUCCAUCCUUUUUUUUUAAUAGCCUAUAGUACGCUAGAAAAGAAAAGAAUAGAAAUAUUCCUUCUAGAUAUGUAUACACAAAAGAUUGUGGUGACUUUUGCAGUAAAUGCUCAAUCGUGGGCAGUGUCUUGACUUGAUCGUGGUACUACUAUCUGACACAAUUUACAUUUAUGAGUUCUCAUUCUUUGAUUUGUCACAAGGAAAGUUAAUUAUCAUCAUUUUUCGACGAAGGAAUAUACUCUGCAUUGCAUGGGGAUAAAGCAGGUUGAAUGAAUGUGAGAUUCAAGAUACAAGGAAUUGCAACAACUAAUGUAGCAAAAAGCCAGAAAAGGUAUAAGAUCUUAAGCUUCUGAAAUUUACCCUUAACAAGAUGGAAAUGUAAUCUUGGAAUUUAUGACAUACUCAAAUUGAAAUGUGAAAGGCCCAUGGCCCACUAGAAAUUACGCGGCCCAAUGGAUGCGGCACGGCAGUUAUUCCUGGGAGUUCCAGGAUCCCCUUCACUUCACCACGUUCCAGGCAAGUCCGACCGAGCUGCCAUAUAUAUAUAUAUAUAUAGAAAAGGAAAUCUGCAAUCGCUGCCUAAGAGUAGGGGUGUACGCGAGCCAAGCUACUCGCGAGCUACUCGCGAGUAGCUUGGUUAACGACUUGGCUUGAACUCGGGUUGACCGAGUUCGAGCCGAGUUUCGAGUAGCUCGAAUGAAAAUCGAGUCGAGUUUCGAGUCAAAAAUCCCCCGCUCGAGGCUCGUCGAGCUACUCGUCGAGCCGGGGUUAUUUAAAUAAUAUAUUUAUAAGUUAAAUAAUAUAUAUGUAUUAUAAUUAUAAAAUGAUCAUUAUGGGUAUAAGUUAUAUGGAAUUUACAAAAUACCCUUCGUUAUCGAGCCUUAUCGAGUCGAGUUUCGAGCUUAGAGCGAGUACAUCGAGUCGAGUUUCGAGUAUCAAUUUUUUUGACUCGAUCGAGCUCGAGCCGAGCUCGAGCUUAGGGAUAUAUGAGUCGAAUCGAGCUCGAGUAUAGCCUCACUUCCAUGCUCUUUUAAUCACUUUUCUUUCCACAUUUCUCAAUCCAUAUUUUUCACUAUGUUUUACUCAUCUUACUCCACAAGUAGAAUUCAAGUUUCAUAUAUAUUUAUAAUCCUAUCUUCAUUCAUUUGCACACACUAAUACUUUGAUUUUUCAUCCAAAUUCACACGUGCACUUUCCUUACAUACUCACACGCUAAUACUUUGAUUUUUCAUCCAAAUUCACACGUGCACUUUCUUUACACAUGCGCACACAAACACUUUGUUUUUUUACACCAUUUCAUACAUGAAUCUUUUCAUACACUUGCACACUUGCACUUGAGUCACCAUUUGCAUCAAUCGACCUCUAUGAGGUUUCCCUUUAUUGGCCACCACAAUUCAUGUGGUUUGGGACCAAAAACCUCACAAGAGACAUCGUAGAAUUUAGGAUUGCAUUUUUUCAUUUUUGCAUUCAUAUAGGCAUAAUUCAACAUGCAAAACAUACCCUGGGUAGAAAGUCAGGAAAGUUAGGGUUAAGUUACGCAACUAGCCUUGGCUAGGUCAAAGGGGUGCCUUGGAGUCUAUCCUUGCCUUCCCCUUUGUCAAACGUGACUUCCGAACCUUUUUCUUUGUUUUACGUAGACUAGGAGUCGUUUUAAAAAGGGUUCAUUACUGCUUAACUCAUUUUUAGGUGACUUGGUACACCUUAAAUUAUUACCAAGUGGCGACUCCAAACUUUUCAUUUAAAAACCCUUUUUAAAACUAUUUUUUGGGUCAAAUCGUCGCAUUCUCAAACCCCCAUUUAGGCCCACUUUUCUUUUAAAUCACAAUUCAUUUUUUUCAAUCACAAAAAAUACAUUUUUUAAACCAUUUAUUUAUUUAUCAAAAAAUGGGGCGCGACAAGCACUCGUGACCAAGGAUCUAGUUUCCUGCUAGAGCUGAGUAGUGCUCGUGGUUAGGCAAAAGUCUCUUGAAUUGGAGGACGAAAGUUGAGGCUUUGGUUGCCAUGGUUGCUGAAAUCCUGGUGGACGAUUUGGGAAUGAAUUUUGUGGCCUGUUCCUAUAGCUGAAAUUGGGGUGAUCUCUCCAACCUAGAUUGUACGUGUUGGAGUAUGGAUCGUACUGCCUACGAGGCACGGGCACGCCUCCGGCCAUGUUUACUUGUUCAGCCCCAUCCUUUUGCAAUAUGGGCAUGAGUCAGUGGGGUGGCCCACGUUUGUGCAGAUUUCACAGACCUUUGCUUGGUGCACGUUCCCCACAACUAAUUGCCAAAUAAAAGAUGUUAGCUCCGACAGCUAUUACUGAAUGGAUGUUGUCUCUAUCUCAUUGACCCUAUGGAUAGGGUUACUCUCACGGAAGCCAAACUGUUGAGAGUUCUCUGCCAUUGCGUCAAUAAGCAACCAUGUUUCUCUCGAUGUUUUGUUCGCCAAUGCUCCUCCACUCACAGCAUCAAUGAUACUUUUGUCAGAUGACUGAAGUCCCACAUAGAAGUAUUGGAUCAAUAGUUGUUCACUAAUUUGAUACUGUGGGCAUCUAGUGCACAACUUAUUGAAUCUCUCCCAAUAGUCAUAUAGGGAUUUUUCAGGAUACUACUCAAUACUGCAUAUCUCUUUUCUCAGACUUGCAGCCCGAGAUGCAGGGAAGAAUUUUUCAAUUUUUUUUUCAAUUAGGCCCAUGUUGUGAUACUACCCGCAGGUAAAUAGUAUAACCAAUCCUUUGCUGCAUCCUUGAAGGAGAAAGGGAAAGCUCUAAGUUUGAUGUGCUUCUCAGUAAUUCCUGGGAGUUUCAUACUGGAACAUACCACAUCGAACUCCUAAAUGUGUUUAUGGGGUUUCUCCCCGAAAGACGAUGGAAUGAGUGUAAGAGGUGAAUUAAUCCGACUUCAGUUCGAAGGAGGUAUUCUCUAUUAGAGUUGGAAAUGUAAUGCACAAAGGCUGCUGGGGCAAUUCUGGAGCAACCAACUCCCUUAAUGUUCGUGCAUUUGCCAUAGGGAUGUCCUCUUGACCUGGAUCACUUGAAUUAUCACCACUCGAAUCUGUUGAUUCAACCUCAGGAUCUAGUCCCUGAGAUGCAGUGCUAGAUUGCUUUUCUCUGAGCUGGUUAGUCUCUUUCCUAGUUCGGCGCGCAGUCUUCUCUACUUUCGGAUCGAAAAACAACUCGCCUGUACGAGAAGAACAAGACAUAAACUAGAAAAAUGCUAGACAGAUCCAAAUAAAAUAAUUUAGAAAGAAACAAAAUUAACCAAAAUACCGUUCUCCUACAAUAGCGUCAAAAAUUGACAGGUGUCGAGUCUGUGUAAUAAUAAUUAAUAAAAGGUCUAAGUUACCACCACAAUUAAUUAUAGAACAAAUUCGAAUAUUUGAGUAAGAACCCUAGGUGUGUAAUGGAUUACUUGAUUCACCCUAUUUUCGAAGAGUUUGCUUAAUCUGAUAUACCAAAAUUAUCUAUAAAAAUAUUAAAUUUGCAUACAAUGUCAAGUAGGAUCGAUUCCAUAGGGAACGGAUAGAAAGUUGUUUCUUUCCAAGUCAAUAAAAUAAAAUUUGGGGAUAUUUAAUGGAAUGAAAAUAAAAACAAAAUAAACAAAAUUCAAAAGCUAAUUCAACAAGUACAAUUUACGAAAAAAAUGACAAUUAAUAAAAUUCUAUCCAAAGGAUCAACUUUUCAGGCACGGUCUAAUUAAAUGAUCAUCGAUGCACAGAUAUUUCAUUCAUCCGUCACUAGGUUGGUUAUAACUAUCUACAAGUUCUGACAACCAAUUCAUCCUUACUUUUCCGACAGUCAAGGUAUGACCAUUAACUGAUUCUCUAACCAGAAAACAACCCUAAGUACGACCGUAGAAAUUUAAUUAUCCAAUUGCAUUAAAUCUAGAAGAACCCAACCCUAACCAAUAAAAACGCUAAGAGGGUUUAUUUAAAUUAGAUCUUACGUUUUCCCAACAUACAGCAAUUACGGUGGUUGCCACUAGUUGUCAACUAAACGAACAAUUACGGAUUCAAUUUAAUUAACGUGGCAGUAGGCUAUUAGAUUAAAUUAAAUAUCCGGCCGUUGAUACUCAAUUAAUAAAAUACCCCUUAACAAUUAAUUCAGGAAACGCACGAAUAAUAACUAAUCGGAAGAAAUAAUGAAAAUUUGAUUAGAUCUCACAAAUGUUAUGGAUCACGCUUUCGCGUCGGCCUUUGGGUGGAGGAGAAAUCUAGCCACUCCUCAUCAAAUCAAUCUCGGGUGAUUUGAUUGAUUCCAUCCACACAAACAUCAAAGAAUUAGGAGCGAUGAAGUAACGAAGAAAGCAAAAGAAAAAGUCUUGAUUGUCUCUGAUUUUUUUCCUUUUUGUUCGUACUGAAGCAAAGUCAAGAAAAGCGAUAGUCUAAUAGAAAUUGUACAAAAGCCAAAGCAGCGAGUAAAUUCGUCUUACAGGGAAAGCAAACUAAAGCUAAUCUAAUAAGCCCGCGUGAUUUUGGCUUUUCCGCUGUUCGCCGCCGAAAAGAAAAGAAAACGUCUGAUCGAAGAAAAGAAACUACAAGCUAAUCUCUUAAUGUUGCGUGAAUCUGGCUUUCUUCCCUUUUGUAGCCCCCGCCAGUUGAAGCAAAGAAACGUCGGGGAGCAAGACUUUGUCUAGGAGUUUUAAUCCCAUGCAUCUCCGCGGUUCACUUUUUUUUCUGACACUAUGGGUAUCUGGGACCACCCGACUAAUCCCACAGCGCCCAGACAGAGCGGGCCGGAUCGAUACCUAGAACGUAAACAAUUAGAUUGCGGACUGGAAUCGAACUCAGGCAGACUUGGAGUAAUGACCCCACCUCCAUCAUCCGAACAACCCAGCACAGGCCAUCUCCCCGGUUCACGUCGACUUGAUUUUCUAAUUGACCCUGCUGCUACCAAUCCCGCGAGUCCUGCUUUUGGGUAUCCUUCUACAGUUUCUAACGUGGGCACGCCCUGAGAUGAAAAGUCUUCUGGAAAUUCUCUUCAAGAUACCACUUUUAACAUCAAUCGCCUACAAUUUACACAAAUAUCAAAUAUGAGCAAAAUUUUAAUACUUAACACAGUAAGUAACCAAAAUUAGGACCAAAUAACAUCGCAAAUGGUGCCCAACAAUUGCUCCAUCAAUCAAAAAUCUGCUUCCAGUUUUUUCAUUUGGAAAUGAUUGUUUCAAAGCAUUCCAAACGUGAGUGUCCCACACGUCAUCCAUAACUAUCAAGUACCUCUUUCUCAUCAAGUGCUGGUGCAACUUCAAGUCCAUAUCCUCAUCAGCCAUUUGAUAUACAUCAUCAGUAAGUUCACCACUGUUGCUUAAAAUGUCAACUAGUAACUCCCUCUUUGCAUGUCCUUGCGAAACGGAACACCAUCCACAAGCAUAGAAGUGAAGUGUAACUUUGGGAUCGUUGUACAAUUUCUUGGCUAGGGUAGUCAUACCUGGCAUGCCAACAAUGGAGACAAUAUCUCGCUGUGGGGAUCCUCUGGUCAGUUGAUCAAUUAUAGUCUCUUCCUCAUCGCUGAGAGAUACCACUUGCUCACCAGUUCCAGCUUCUGGUAUGCUGACUGGUGAUUUCAUAUGGCUAGAAUUCUGGGAGACAAUGUGGUCUCUGGCAUCAAAAGUCUUCUCCUCAUAAAUUUUGGUGGUCUACAUCUUAAUGAGUCUUAUCUCUUCGAGAACCUCAUCAAGCCACAAUACAUGCUGCCAAUGGCUACCAAUUCCAACCUCAAUCGAGUCAAUGAUAAAUUCAGCCUCAUAUGCCGCAUUUGUAACAUCUGUAACGGGAUCCAUUUGGUCUAGAUGCUCGUUGUCCAGCUUAUUGAGAAAAGAUCUCAAAAACUCCUAAUUGGAUAAAAUAUUUUCAAUAUGAUGCUUCACCAGUGCAAUAGAAUCUAGGUCAUGUUUGAGAAGCUCCCAUAGAUUUACUAAGAGAUAAUCAACAAAGCCCAAUCCAUUAGUCUUGGGGAAAUUAUGCCUUGGAUAUUUGGGGCAGGACCCUCUAAGUUCUGCUUGAUCAUUGCCAUCCCUUGUAGCAAAUCAGAAAAUGAAAGAUUCAUUUUGUCAACCUUCUCCUCUGUUUUUUGUUGACAAGAAAUGAGUAACAGAAAGAUGUAAUCCUCCUAGCAUUUGCUUCGACUUGUGUGAAGAUCAAUUCAACAUUCCCUUCAUUUUCUCUGGCUGAUUAGUGACAAAAGCUGAACACAACCUCAGCCCUCGAGUAGCGUUUCAAUCUGAUCUUUUCAAGGCUCAUCAAACUUGGAUCACUAUUCAGUAAUUCCAUAUAAGAUAUAUCUGCCUUUGAAUAGCAAAAAUCUUUAGGAGCAACAUUAAAUAGUGAAAUCCUUACCUUGUCUUAUGUAAUCUUCUUGUCACGAAAGGAUUGUUCAGGAUACUACCUCUUUGGCACUUCUUCGAUAGCACAGUAUAGGUUCUGGUUUGCCCAUGUUCCAUCGCUCCUCGGGUUGAUCUUUGGAAUAUUUUGAGGCCCUGCACAUCUCGUUAAGGUCCUCAGCUCGGCUCUUUGAAGAAAUUGUGCAACUUUUCAGUUGCUGCUUAAGGAAAACCUCUGCCUUGAGAAGAGAAUCUUUGUAUGCACUUGGGAGCUGAAGACUACCAAGUUGCAUACGCCUAGAGAAGAUGCUGCUAGGAUAGCACAGCUUUAAUUUCUUCCGAAAUGCUUUGUCCAUCCGGACUUGAUUCAUCUGGUUCAUUGAUGACGAAGAUUACAAGUUGUUUUAGCUCACCUGAAAGAUGAUUGGGCUCUCCAACAUUGAGGGACUCUGGAGAAAGAAUUGCUAAACCAUCAGCCAGGCUGCGGUUUAAUUCUGAUGAGUGCUUUCAGAAGUUGAGAUUCAACUCUAGGAUCUCUGGAGUAGUCGGAUGAAUCUCACACUGCAGAUCCAGAAGUUGGAUAAUCUUACUUUUGGCUAGGGCCGGGUCCCCCUUUCUGUUGAUCCAGUAAUGAAAAGACUCAUUUGCAAUGCGUACAGCAAGAGAUGCAAUAUGAGUGUUGAAGCUGGAAAUCAUUUGAUCACUAGGGACGUCAGAGUUCAACUAACGGAGUGCAUCUUUAAGAAACUUAUGAGAGGCAAUAAAAGGUCAUUUCUGAAGGCCUUUGAUUUGUGCUCUUUAAUCAUCGUUCUCAUCAACUUUUUGAUCACACCCUCGCGUUCAGCAAAAUCUCUUUCAGAUCUCCGAGAUAGAUACCAGAAACUGGCUGCAAAAGGAAUGAGAAAGCAAGGGAAGCUUCCACUCCAAUGAGCAGUGCGACAAAAGGUCGAGAGCUUGUCCAGUUUCUUGCUUGCAAAGAUCAAUCUUCCUUUCCCAGUCACAAAACACGUCAAUAGUUCCAGAAGCAAACUCUUUCGUGAAACAAAUUUGUCAUCGCAAAGAAUUUCAAUCUUCUAUAUUAUCUCGCUGAAAGCUGCCUUAAUUGUGUGAGGAGAGAUCCCAAAUCUGGCACAACUUUAUCUGCAUUGCUGUACUUCUGAACAUAAAUCAGCAGCUAUUUAAGAUGGUUCUAGUAAGUUGAUUCGUACCGUAGGCGAGCCAGUUUAAGUUCCAGUGCCUGGUGUUUGUGUUUGAGUCUGAGCUCAACAGUCGCUUCACUCAGCCAAUACUAUGUAUACACAUCAUCUAGUUUGUCAAUCAAUCCUCUAUGGCAGAAUUAAAGUUAUGAAGAAUCAGAAAGGGAUGCCAUCUUUGUUGGCAACACAACCAUGGUUCGAAGUCUCGGUCGAGUCGUCACCGUCUCGACCCCUACCGAUCGUACCGUGACGAUACCGAAAUAUUUGACUCGUCGAGAAUCGGCCGAGUCGUCACCACGACUGAUUGACUCGGCCGAGUCACACCGAGUUACUCUGAGUUAUCCCGAGUCAAGACGAGAAAUCAGCCGAGUCACACCGCGACGGAUUGACUUGGCCAUUUCUUUUGUUAUUUUUUAAUUAUUUUUAUUUAGCCUACUUUUUUUAUUAUUAACAUUUUUAGAAUAUUAAAUACUUUAAAAUUUGCGUUUCACCGAGACCGUGAUAUGCCGAGACCGAUGUGGAACGUUCCGGGCCGCGCCCGCGACCGCGACCGUGACUUUAAGCCAUGAACACAACCUCUCUGAAGAUCCAUUCAAAUCUCAGGAAGCAAGACACAGAGUAACUGUUCUAGAGCACCCUAUUCUGCAAGGUACUACGGUUGUUUUCUUCAAAAAAAUAUGUUAGCAUGAAACCACAUUCAGGUUUAGGAAGAAAUCAACGUCAAAGCAUUAGCAAUCAUGUUUCAUGCCAAAGCACUACUAUUUUUUUAAUAUUUCAAAAAGUAAGUUUGUAUCAAAAGUUAAAGGGAAAGGAAAUUCCAACUUUAUUCAAAAAAGUUAACUAGGCUGUUAAGUUAUUCCAACAAAUUUAUGCAGCUUCAAAAAGUUGAUGUUUCCAUUAACACGAAAAUCAAAAGCAGAAGAUUAAAUUGGAGUUAUACUUAUCAUCAAAGACUAGACCUUUAUUAUGGAAAAGAUUAAUUUAAAUAAUCAUGUGGGACUUUCACCUUUCAGUGGCAAACGAGAAAUUAAAUUCAUAUGAUGCCAUGCCCUAAACUGUUUGUGUUACACUUGCCAGGCGAAAGUCUAUUUGCAUUUACUUUUACCAGUUUGUCAUGGGUCUCUUUCUUUUUGUCCCUUUGGAUCAAUUACAAAAAAGUACCUCUUUGUUAUAUUAAUUUCUUUGUUGGUCCACUUCUUUUCUAUCAUGGAAGAAAAAUGUGCAAAUAAUUGCGUUAAUUUUCGUCCGACCCAAUAUCCAGGUGCCAAUCAUAACAUAAUUUUGUUGACCCGUUUAAACUUGCCCACCACUAAUCUUGAAUGGGUCUAAAUGUGUAUUUAAGUAAACUCAUUUAGUUGGUGGGUAGUGAGUUAAUUUGCUCACUUAUUAUACCCAUUUAAAAAAUAAUUAUAUAUUUAAACUCAACUUUUAAUAAGUAUUAAGUAAAUAAAUUUUGAUUUUUUAUCAAUUUAAUACAAUAAAUACCGUUAUCUCUUGUCAAACAACAUGGAAACAAAUUUUAAAAAAUAAGUAGAAUUUUAAGAGACUCAUUAUGGGUAAUUAGGUAUAUCCUUAUUCAUUUAUUAAAAAUGUAUAAUUGGUUUGACCUACUUAUAUCCAUUAUCCGAUUAUGACCGACUCAAACCCAUUUCACCCAUUUUGACAACUCAACAGCAAUAAAUCAAAUUUUGUGUUACAUAAUCAAAAUUUGUCAAAUCGUUAAUUCUAUAAAUCGUAAUAGUAUCACACAACAAUGUUAGAUGAAUUUAAGCUAAAAUUCCGUUUCGGAGCAAUUUAGGGUGGAGAAGUCAAUAAUAAAUGCGUCCAUUUCUUCUCUUCAAAGCCCAUUCUCUUGUCUGCGACUUUUUUCCCCCUAAUUUUUUCAAGUUUUGGGGUUUUUUUUUUUGGCCUAUUUCACGAUGGAGUCCAUCGCAUCAAUCGAAUGCAAGAGUUUUUCAGUAUUUCGCCAUUACCUCUAAGUCCAUUGAUUUAAAUUUAUUAUGAAUAUGACACAAUUAUUUCUUAGUUCCAACCAAGAAUAUCAACAUAAGCCAACCUCAACAUAAAUUUCAACAUAAACUUGCAGCAAUGAAUAGGCUGCAGAUAAAUUAAAUCUUACUAUGAGCUGAUAAUUAAUAAAAACAAAAAGUUAUAGAAGUACUUCCAUUUUACUGAAAGCUUCUUGCAAAAUGCAAAUAUCAGCUCACGACUAAAACAGACUGAGCUUUGAGAUUCAUGAUCUUAUGGUAAGUGAGGGAAUCCACGUCCAUGUCUUCCCAAAAAUCUUACAUAUGUAUUUACAUCUUCACCUGAUUGAAAAUGAAAUCUUUCUUCUAAUUAUCUGGUCAAAAUUUUUCUCAAAAUCACUUACCCUGAAAACUAUAAAAACUUUUAUACUAAUAGUUUUAAGAAUUUUCUAUUUUUUCUAAAACCUAAGACUAUUUAUAAUAGGGUAAAAUACACUAAACCCCUUGUGAUUUGGGUUAUCAUCAUAAAACCUCCUCAUUGUUAAAAACCCCCAAAGUACCCCCUCAUAGUUUGGAUUAAUUUGGGCAAUGAACGAAAAUCGUCUAAUUUGACGGAAAAUAUGAAAUUUCUAUAUUAACCUUGUUUCAAAACUUAUCAUCUUCUCCAAAUCUCCAUUUUUUCCUUCGACAACAAUAGAACAGCUACCAAUUACCACAGCCACCAUUCAACUAAAAACCCAUUCUCCUUCAACUCGGCCUUCGUCACCGCAUCCACCUCAAUCGAGCCCAUGUCCACUGGCAUCACAGUCGAUAAUAGCCCUCCCAAACCAUUAUCUGAACCUAGAGUCGCAAGCUGCAGCAGAAGUAGAAGCAGAAGCUGAAGUUGCCUCCAUUGAGUCCAUUUCCAAGUUCCGAAUUGCACUAGUCCAGCCCUCGGAAAUUAGUCCGACCCGAUCCAAUUGCUAACAGAAAUCUUAAUUGUUCCGCAAAAGAGCUCAAAAAAAGAAGGAAACGAUUUUGCAAGAAAUACUUUAAAGAAAAAGAGGACUUUUUUUUUCCAGUGCUACGUAGAAAGAAAGUACAAAUUUAAAAGCAGAAAAAGUACUCAAAAAGCUUUCCAAUGGCAGAGAGAAUUUUGGAAGAAAAACCAGAGAAACUUUCCUGGCUUCCUUUUCUCCCUCUACCCUCAUAAUAUUUUUUUUUUGUUUGCUGGGUUUGUGGAAAAUGGGUUUUUGUUUCUUGUUCUCUCACCCAGAAAGAUUGCAAAAUGCCAACGGCGCAAAAGAGUCUUUUGAUGCUUUUGCCAGAUCCUUUAAACAAUCCAUUGAAACUUUGAGGCGGUCGCAGUUAAUGGAUCUCUAUGGCUGAAAUCACUUUCCAUUCUUUUCAUUCCAUUCCGUUGAGCUCCCUUGAAUCACAAUCCAUCUGUAUUUGUUCCAAGCCCGCACCGCCUUCAAUGCCAUAUUACUCUUUGCUCAGCCUACCAAUUGAUUACAUCCCAAACCAUCUGGUAUAACCGGAGGAGGAGGAUUUGUCCCGCACAACAGCCCCGAGUUUACAACUAAAUUCAUCUGGUACAAUGAUGGAAGUGUACAAAUCAAUCUAUCAAUGGUAAUUUUUGCUGCUUCAAUUGCCAUGGUCACCACCGUCAUCGUCAUCUUCAACAUCAUUGCGUCUUAGAUUUCAUCUAAAUUCAUGUAAUUUCUACUCCAGAUCGUUCAGGAAAAAGAAAAAAAGGGAGAACAAGGAAAAAAAGAAAAGAAAAUAAAAUAAAACGUAAAAUUAUCACAUUACCUUUGAUGUAUUAUUAUCACACUCGCUUGUCAAGUGUGUGUAAUUCACUUCCCGUCAAAUUAAACGAUUUCCGUUCAUUGUCCAAAUUAAUCCAAACUAUGAGGGGGUACUUUGGGGGUUUUAAACAAUGAGGAGGUUUUAUGAUAAUAACCCAAACCACAAGGGGGUUUAGUGUAUUUUACCCUUUAUAAUAUAAUCCUAGAUAUAUAUCCAAAAUACAACAUAAUACGGAAAAUUCUUCUCCUGAGGUUUUAUCUGUUUUGAGAAGUACUGAAUUAAUGCAUUAAAGCUUUGACUAUUUUGGUGUCAUCUCCUAUAAUGUUCUAUAUAUUAUCAAGUAAGCAUUGGGAAGUAAGAUUUAACCAAAUGUCAAGUUUUUGCCAAAAUUACAACAAAUAAAGUUGAAGUAAGAUUUGACCAAAUGUCAAGCUUUUGCCAAAAUCAACUUUUUUAAAUAGAUAGUGUGCUAGACUAUUUACCUAACCAUUUUUAAAUAGACAGUGUGCUUAGACUAUUUAGCUUUAAUAUGUUCCAAUGCCACUUGAUAAACAUUUGCUGCUAUUAUAUUACUAAAUUUUUCCAUCUCUAGCUACUUAUUUGUUUCUCAUCGGCUUUAUUAUAGAAUUUUACUAUAACUCCACAAUUUGUUCUAAUAGUUGUCUAACUCAAUAUGUUCAAGAGCAUAUAAGCCAAGUAAAUUUUAUGAAAAUAUAUCUAUAGUUUUCUUCCUUAACUCCAAUUUUUUCCUUCUUUAACUCCAGUUUUUUCUUCCCGCUUAUCUUAUAAAAUAGUAAGCAUAUAAUAGUCUUAUCCCUUAAAUAGGCAUAAUUGAUUUUAAUCAUAUCCUUAAUUCAUCGUAAUAGAUAUCUUGAAUAGGCAUAAUUGACUUUAAUCAUAUUCCUAAUUCAUUGUAAUAGAUUCUUGAAAAUUAAGGGAAAAAAAGCAACAAAUUAGGAUGAAAUUUUAUAUAAUACAACGUGAAAUUUGAAGACAAUCCAAGCUUUGGUUGUAUGUCCUUGAACUCGAUAUUUUAACAAGCCAAGCCAAAUUUUUCGUGAACAUACAUCUGAAAUUUCAAACCAAGUUCCAUCAAUUUCUUUCAAAAAUUAUCAAACACAAGCCAAAUUCAAACAGUUUUUUUUAAAAUGUUCAAACAAAUCCUGAACAUACCUUUAUCUGGCUCAUUGAGCCUUAUUUUCAGCCCUAUUUAUUUCUGUUUAUUUGGUAUGUUUUGUUUGCAGAUUAUAUUUCAUUUUCAAUUAUUAGGAGUAUGUACCCUAACUUCUGGAUUUUAUACGUGCAAAAAUGGCAUUCACUUGCUUCUGAUUGCACUCAUGACACAGCAUGUUACAAUGGAGCAAUGCUUGAAGUGCUUGUGAAAGAUACAGUGUUACGUGCUUUGUCCCAAUCACUUAGUCUAUGUGACAUGGAUUUUGACCAAACUAGUUGAUAAGUAAGGAUAGUUGAAGUGACGAUGGAUGACUUCUCACAUGCUCCUACACAAUCUAUUCCUAAAUAUUUUACAUUUGGAGUCCCGGACCUUUGGCUGUUGAACUUUGGCUGAGGAUGGUAUCAUUUCCUGGAAAUUGCAAAAUUAAAUUACUAUAUCUUACAUCUCUUUCAUUCUUUUCAUUUAGUCUAGUAGUAUCAUAGGUUUUUAGUUAUGAAAAAUCCUACUUUAAAUAACAUACGACUUAUACGACAGACACAAGAUGAUUCACCUCUUGAUUUAUAGGAGUUUUCAUAUAUUUGUGUCUAUCGCUUUGCAAAUCGUAUUUUUAAAGUCAGUUGAACUCUUUAGUUAUUUUAUAGUAAUAAGCCAUGUAUGUUAAUAGUUAAUUUUGUUUGAAGUUAUUGUACUACUAAUUUGGAAAACAAACCUAGCUUUCCAUUAAUUUUUAGUAGAUUUUAAACAGAGCACUUUCAAUUAACAGAGCACAUUUUAAAUAGCGCACAUUUAAUUAGCAUCCAAUAUAAAGCUUCACUAUUAGUCCAUUAUCUUCAAAUAAGAAAAAAAAAUGCAUAAUUAAACCAAUAUAUAAAGUGUAUUAGUUAAUUAAUUAUGGAGGUGACGACAAUGCAAGGUUAUCACUGAUGUGUUGGCUACUUUGAAUCAAGUGUGACAAUUUCCUAUGUUGUGGCUAAAGAACCCCAUUCUGUGAUGAUUUUUUUUCAUUAUUGAGAUAUGUUGUUACUAAUGACCAAAUUUCUUAUAGUGCUCAAAAACUAUUUGUAUUUUCCUUUUGUUAAGUGCUUGACUGAGCUAUUGUCACUGACGACCAAAUUUCUUAUACUGCUCAAAAACUAUUUGUAUUUCCUUUAGUUUCGCCUGACUGAGCUAUGUUAAGGUUGAAUGUUGCUGAGUCGUCAUUUGGAAAUCGUGAUUAAAAAAUGCUAGAGUUCCUGAAAGCAUAGGGAGCCUCAAUUUUAAGUAUCAUUUUUAGAGAUAUUUUUGAGAGCAUUUGUUAAUUAAGGUACUUAAAUAUGGAGUUCCUGACUCUAUUCCUGCAUGUUAUACAUAUGGAGUUCCUGACUCUUGCACAUCUUAUGUCUAGCGGCAAUGAGAUAACAUCAUAACAUGUAGAAGCAGCACAUAAUGUCGAUAUAAUUACAACAAUUCUGAUAUUAUCUUUGGGAUCCAAAACUAUUUUGACCAAUUCAUGCUAUGUAAACUUUUUUCUUUUCUUUUUUUUUUAAUUUUCUCAUUGUAUGUUUCAAAGUAUAAUUAGCGAACGAAACAUUCUAAAUUUCUUAUGCUAUUUGGUUGUAUUAGUCUUUGUGGUUCGGUCUUUCACCCCAUUUUAAACUCGGAUCAGGCCGACCGAUUCGACUAGUUGAAUCGGGAACAGGAGACAUGUCCAGUCCGAGUUUGUUCAAAAACUCGGGUGACAAAGACCCGGUCAAUACCGGUCAAAACCCGGGUUUGACCGAAAACUUGGAACAACCGGAAAAUCUGGUUCUUUUUGAGCAUCCAAUUUCUGCUAUUUUUACCCAAUUUUUUUUUCUAACAUCGAAUUUCUGCUAUGUUUCUUCGAAAAUUUUCAGCAUGGAUAUCGAUCCUUGAGUGCAAAUUCGACGGCAACAGCAGUGGUAUAGUCACAUAAACUGAGUGAGCACAAAAGGAAUCUGCUUUGACAAAUAAUAUAAGCUGCAGGCAUAUACGUACCUUGGUGUUUUUCAAAUGACCCCAAGUGUGCGAGCUAAGAGAGUCUUCCCCGUACCAGAAGGUCCAUGGAUUAGGAAACCUUUCACAUGCUUGACACCAUAUCUGGGAAAUUGAGGUUUCUUAGAAAUUUUCAAGCCAAUGACGUAAUACAUAUACAGCUAACGUAACAAGUGUAAAUUUACUUUCUGGCAACGCGUGGAUGGUACAUCUCGAGGCAAUCAUCCCAGGAACAUCUCUUUAAAUGAUUCAUCAGUACCAACACCCAGUGAUUGAAAGUCGAAUUCUUUCUGCCGAAAGAUGCUGCUUGGUUCAUGCUGGUUGAGUAUCUGCAUAUAGCGGCAGCACAGCAAAGUAAAACUUGUUUAUGAUUCAAACAAAAUUGAUACAGAUCUAGAACCUCUAUUUGUAUUUCAUACUAAAUCAAUAUCAACCUUUACUCUUCUAGGGUAUGAUGUCUUGAAAAUCAUGCAUGUUUCAGCCGAGAUCAUCCCAAGCUGCAUUCCAUCCAAUCCUUUUGCCCUUCUAUAACACCUUGCAUAACUUUGAAAACAUACGGGUUCUUAUUAUACUCAAAUUUUACCUGUUGCUCAAUAGAAAGAACCUGCACAUAUUUAAGAGUAGAGUCAAACUACUAAAUUCUUAUUAAGAUCAGGAUGAUGUAGCUGUAGCUAUGUUUGGUCAGUUGACAUUGAUGAGCAAGUCUCAGAAUGAGUAUUGAUGCUUCAACUCCCUACUCUAGUCAGAUUGGCUCAAUAAAAGCCAAAAAUCCCUAAUACAGAGUCUAUGAGCAUCCAAUCUUGUACAUUUCCUCACUGCCAACAAGUGAUUAAACCAUUGGCAUUGUGAUCAUGCACUGCCUGCUGCUACUAAUCCACUAUAUCUGGUUAGCCAUAUUAUUGCAAACUUCAAAAUUUGAACAAUAAGGGAGUUAAAAAGUAAUGCAUACAUAAAUAAAAAAUUAUUUUGACAACUAUGCUGCUCUUGCUGUUAAUCAUCGUCUAAGCCCCCACCUCUGAGACCAGCUUUUCUAUAUCUACAUCAGGCAAUUUCUUUAUUGGGUAUGAAUGAUCUAGAGGUGGAAGUUCUCAUGGCCAUCAUAUUAUUGCCGAUGAUUUAUUCUGCUUUCAUCAAAUAUGGGUUACAAGACUUAAAUUGUAAACUUUGUACACAUAAAUACUACUGGAGACUACAAAAAUGCUGUUGAAUGAUACGCAUGGAUGGAAGCAUUUUAGUAAAAAUUUCUGACCACAAUUGCAAGGGUCAUAGGACUAUCCAGCACAUAGCAGCCACAGACAAGUAAUAUCUGAAAUUACUGGAAAGAACAUUACCAAUCCAUGGAUGGCAGCUCUAUUCUCUAAAUCUGACAUAAGCACCAGUUGUGGGCUCCAAACAAAUUUAAGAGAAACUCAUUUUUAACGGAAAAAAAGGGAAAAGGAAUGGUGUUCAUACCUGACCAACAUUUAUAGAUCUUAUAUGGUCACACAGACUAUCAGCAUCCACCUGCCAAACAAUAUAUUCCACACUCACCAGCCAGCUAAUGCAAAUUAAAAUGAUGCUGCAACUAAGGGCAUAAAGCAUAGACAGCAGAGUCAAAUCACAUUCACACAAGCUAAUUCAGGCCACUAAAUUGAUAUCUAAUAAAAUGAAAACAAGCAUUAACAGUUUAUGACAGAUGGUGCUUAGAAAACAUACAGAUUCUUCUUUACUUCCCGGGUGGAGAGGUGUGACAUCAAGGGUUAGUGUAGGGCUGCAACGAAUCGAGCCGCUCGCGAGCGGCUCGAGUCAAGCUUGAGUCGAGCUCGAGCCAGCUCGAGUCAAACUCGAGCUCAAACUCGAGCUCAGAAUAUUAAGCUCGCUAGCUCGCGAGCUUGAGUAUAUAUAUAUAUUUUUUAUUUUUAUUUUAUUUAAUAAUAAAAUUACGUAUAUUAUAUUUUUUUUAUUUUUUAUUUUCAUAGUGAAAUUACGUAUAUAUCCUUAAUAUUUAUUAUUUAUUCAAAAAAAUAUUAUUAUUUUUUUUUUUUUAAAAAUAAAAAUUUUAUUUUAUUUUUUCGAGCUCGAGCUCGAAAAUUGCCAGCUCGUCGAGCUCGAGCUUGGUAAAAUUUAGUUGAGACUCGGCUCGAUUAACUCAAAACUCGACUCGGCUCGACUCGUUUGCAGCCCUAGGUUAGUGAAGUGAAGUCGAAAUUUUCAGGGGGUAUAAACCUACAAUUUAAACCAAUGUAAAAAUUUUAAAAGCGAAAAGAUAACAUCAGAAACCAAAGAACAAGUACAAACAAAAAUUUACAAACGGCAAACCUGCUGAUAGAUAUUUGCAUGCCAGGAUCAACAUUUGCCAUAUUCCUUUGAACAGAAUUCAUCCCAAUGUAACCCUUUGGAAUGGAUUUAAAGCUAGUGAACACUCAGUUAAGGCACAAGCAUGUAUAUUUUAAGCUUAGCAGAUCACAAUAUACGCUCUUAGACCAAUAUUUGGGAUUUUUGGGGAUGGGAAGCAUUAACGUGCAAGAAAUAGAGGACAUGGGUACAUAUCUUAAUAUAUGGAAGCUCAAAAGGAUAUUGGAUUGACAGUACCAAAUUGUCACUUAGGCGAGCCAAACGAGGAGGAGAAGGAAAAUCUUUGAAUCGGGAACAAUCAUCAGGUCUGAAUUUGGCACUGUCCUUGGGGUUACAAUAGGCAUAGUUACUGAAGGAGCAUCCAGAGUCCGGAAUGUGUUUCACUAUCAUGGUCCAUGCUUCUUCCAUUUCUUCUGGCUACAAUAUUAGGAGAUACUCUUGCAAUCAAAGUGCAACCAUACUCAAUGUGCAUGCUAAAUACAAUAUGGGUGUUUGAAAAAUAAAAUGUAAAAUGUAUCAAAAACGAAUCAAGGUUAAAGAUUGUAGAGAACUAACAAUGUAGACCUGAAACUAUCCUAAAAAUCCAUGGCAGUAACUGGGUUUUGGAAUUAACAAAAAAAAAUAAUAACGAUAGUAUUAGUAACCUACCUGAGUCACAAAAUCCUUUGCUAAGAUUAACAAACCUUAAUGGAAUUUACCAAAUGUUUCAGAGUUCUGCUAACCUUAUUCGCUGUUAAACCAUACAGAUUAGUCACAGAAAAAGGACAUUAUUACUCAUCAUAGGACUAAAUAUUAAUCACAAAUAGAUUUACUGAGUAUUUCAAGUUCGACAGCCAUGCUGGUGAAAAUGCUGACCAUCCUAUAAUCUUCAUUCACUUUCAGAACAUUUAUGUAGGAAACUGGGAAAAACUUCAGUAGUCCCUAUAGAUUAGAGGCCUUAAUAUCGAGGCAUGUUUGUCUACUAUGUAAUGCGCAUCUGACACUCUUGGCAUUUAAGGAUCAUUAUAAGACUUACAAAGAUCAAAUAUAGUUUUGGAUAAAUUUGACCAGUUUGGAGAUUCUAGAGGCAUGAGUAAGACAUAAUCUAUCUAAAUGAAGAGUGCUUUUAGUAGUAUUAAGUGAAAAUGCAGUGCACUGGCUUCUCUUGAUAAAAAUAAGAAAGGCAAACCGUGAAUGUCUUCCAACAUGAGACCUUGCUCGGUUGAAUGAGCAUUAAAGCUACACGUACUGGCUUUCAUGGAUCAGCUUAAUUAUUACUGAAGACCUUUCUCACAAAAAUGCUUCCUCCUAGCAUUUAGACUCUCAUACUAAACUCCUAAGGCCACACUUUCACGGCAUUGAAUUUAGGGAACUGCAUCUUUUCGAAUAAAUUAGGACUACAAGUUGAAGACAAGAAUUAUAAACAAAAAUUUAUGAAGUAAUGUACAAAUUUUAACGCCUCUAUCCUCCGGCAAUAGCCACAAGAGUCAUCAUUUUAAUAAUUGCAUUGGUUGUUAAUGGACGAUACAAAUUUUCUUUCUCGUUUAAAGCAAAUAGAAGACUUCGAAACCUGGGGAAUCUAAGUCAUGGUGGAAACAUUUAUUACUUAGUCAAUAUUCCUCCUCCACCUGAGACUGUUUCGCUAAGAAUUAGUCAUCCGAGCUGCAUAUCAAGCAUGCACUUCUAGCAGGACACAAAAACCAUCUAAAAGAUUCAUUACUCUAGAAAAGAUGAGCAUCAUCCCACAGAAAACAUUAAUAAUAAUACUUGGUGAAGCAAGUUGGCGUGGGAGUAAAUUCUUACCUGCUUUGCUUCCGGAAGAACCAAAGGUGGAGAGAGGAAGCUGCUGUCUCUUGAGAGAGAGUGGAGAGCAAAAGCCUUUUGCGGAGGUUUAAACUUAGCUUUCUUCUCCCAGCUGGACCACUGAAUCGGGGAGUGGAGUAGCAAGGAAAAGAACGGCCUCCAGUCCAGUCCAGAAUGCAUGCCUGGGCAGGAGAGGGGAGACAUUUAUUUGAUAGUGACGACAUUAAUUUUAGGACGUACGACUCUGUCUUUUUUAGCUACUUAUAGGCCUGUUUGGAACCUCAGUUUUUUGGGAGUUUGUCUAAAACUUUACUGUAGUGCACUGUAGAAGUUUUGAAAAAAUUUUGUAGAAAUUUUUGUAAGGUGAAAAACUUUUUUGUAGAAGUUUUUGAAAUGUUACUUUAGACGUUUUUUGGAUUAUUUUUAGAGGUAUUUUAAAACAUAUUUUUGAAUAUUUAUAAUUUAUAAUUUUUAUAUUUUUAAACAUUUAUGCAUUUAUAAUACAUUUAUAAAUAUUUUAUAUAUUUAUAUAAAAAUACAUAAAUGUAUUAUAUUAUAUAUAAUACGUAUAUACAUAUAUAUAAUUUAUAAUUUAUAAAUGUAUAUUAAUAUAAAUGUAUAAAUUAUAAAUGAAUAUUAUAUAAAUGUAUAAUUAUAAUUUAUAAAUGUAUAUGAUGAUUAUGUAUAAAUGUAUUUAAUAUAAUACAAAUAUAUAAAUGUAUUAAUAUUAUGUAUAAAUGUAUAAUUAAUAUUGUUUAUAAUUUAUAAUUUUUAUUGUUUAAUUAUUCAUAUGCAUUUAUGCAUUUAUAAUACAUUUAUAAAAUUUAUAAAUAAAUAUAUUAUAUUUUAUUAUUAAAAAUAUAUAUUUAUUUAUUAUAUGUAAUACAUAAUAUACAUAUAUUUAUAAAUGUAUAAUUAAUAUAAAUGUAUAUAUUAUAAAUGAAUAUUAAUAUAAAUUUAAAUUAUAAUUUAUAAAUAUAUAUGAUAUUAUGUAUAUAUGUAUAAUAAUAAUAUAAUAUAAAUGUUUAAUAUUAUGCAUAUAAAUGUAUAAUAUAUUUAUAAAUUAUAUAAUAUGCAUUUAUAAUAAAUAAAUAUUUAUAUAGUUUAUAAUUAAAAUAUAUGAAUGUAUUAUAUUAUAUAUAAUACAUAAUAUAAAUAUAUUUUCAAAUGUAAUAAUUGUAUAUUAUUAUAAAUGAAUAUUAUAUAAAUAUAUAAAUUAUUAUAUUAUAAAUAUAUAAAUAUAUAAUAUUAUGUAUAAAUGUAUUAAUAUAAUUAAUAUAAAUGUAUAAAUGUAUUAGUAUUAUGUAUAAAUAUAUAAUUAAUAUUGUGUGUUAAUAUUAUGUAUUAAUGUAUUAUGUUAUACAUAAUACAUAAUAUAAUUGUAUAUAAAUAUACAUAAAUAUAUAUACAUAAAUGUGUAAUAUAUAUAAUAUGUAUUAUAUAUAUUAAAUGUAUAAUAUAUAAUAUUUAUAUAAAAGUAUAAUUACAUAUUUAUAUUAAUAUUAAUUUAUAUGGUAUAUAAUAUUUAUAUAAAUAUAUAAAUAUAUUUUAAAUAAAAUAAAAUAUUUAUAAUAUGUUUAAAUAAAUAUAUAAUAUAUAUAAUAAAUUUUUGAAAGAUUUUGAGGUUACCGGCGGCGCCGGAAUAGGUAACCGGCACCGGGAGAGGUGGUGGAGGCGGUGUCUGGUGUGGUGGGUUGGAUGAGGGAGGAAGAAAAUUUUUUGAGAAAUUUUUUGAAUAUAGAUUAUUGAAGUGUGUAGGUAAAAAAUUUUGAAAAAUUUUUUGAGAUUCUUGUAGCAAAAGUUAUUAAAAAACUAGUAGCUAAAAAAUUUGGUAAAAACUUGGCACCCUAGUUUUUUACCAAGUUUUUUGGCUACUAGUUUUUUAAUAACUUUUGCUACAGGAAUCUCAAAAAAAUUUUCAAAAUUUUUUACCUACACACUUCAAAAAUCUAUACACAAAAAAUUUCUCAAAAACUUUUCUUCCUCCCUCACCCAACCCACCACACCAGACACCGCCUCCACCACCUCUCCCGGUGCCGAUUACCUAUUCCAGCGCCGCCAGUAACCUCAAAAUCUUUCAAAAAUUUAGUAUAUAUAUUAUAUAUUUAUAAUAUUAUAUAUUUAUAUAUUUAUUUAAACAUAUCAUAAAUAUUUUAUUUUAUUUAAAAUAUAUUUUAUAUAUUUAUAUAAAUAUUAUAUACCAUAUAAAUUAAUAUUAAUAUAAAUAUGUAAUUAUACUUUUAUAUAAAUAUUAUAUAUUAUAUAUUUAAUAUAUAUAAUACAUAUUAUAUAUAUUACACAUUUAUGUAUAUAUAUUUAUGUAUAUUUAUAUACAAUUAUAUUAUGUAUUAUGCAUAACAUAAUACAUUAUACAUAAUAUUAACACACAAUAUUAAUUAUAUAUUUAUACAUAAAACUAAUACAUUUAUACAUUUAUAUUAACUAUAUUAAUACAUUUAUACAUAAUAUUAUAUAUUUAUAUAUUUAUAAUAUAUUAAUUUAUAUAUUUAUAUAAUAUUCAUUUAUAAUAAUAUACAAUUAUUACAUUUAUAAAUAUAUUCAUAUUAUGUAUUAUAUAUAAUAUAAUACAUUUAUAUAUUUUAUAUAACUAUAUAAAUAUAUUUAUUUAUAAAUGUAUUAUAAAUGCAUAAAUAUAUAUAAAUAUUUAAACAAUAAAAAUUAUAAAUUAUAAACAAUAUUAAAUAUACAUUUAUACAUAAUAUUAAUACAUUUAUACAUUUAUAUUAAUUAUAUUAAUACAGUUAUACAUAAUCAACAUAUAUAUUUAUAAAUUAUAAUUUAUACAUUUAUAUAAUAUUCAUUUAUAAUAUAUACAUUUAUAUUAAUUAUACAUUUAUAAAUAUAUGUAUAUUAUGUAUUAUAUAUAAUAUAAUACAUUUAUAUAUUUUUAUAGAAAUAUAUAAAUAUAUUUAUUUAUAAAUAUUUAUAAAUGUAUUAUAAAUGCAUAAAUGCAUAUAAAUAUUAAACAAUAAAAAUUAUAAAUUAUAAACAAUAUUAAUUAUACAUUUAUACAUAAUAUUAAUACAUUUAUACAUUUGUAUUAAUUAUAUUAAUACAUUUAUACAUAAUCAUCAUAUACAUUUAUAAAUUAUAAUUUAUACAUUUAUAUAAUAUUUAUUUAUAAUUUAUACAUUUAUAUUAAUUAUACAUUUAUAAAUUUAUAAAUAUAUGUAUAUUACGUAUUAUAUAUAAUAUAAUACAUUUUGUAUUUUUAUAUAAAUAUAUAAAAAUAUUUAUAAAUGUAUUAUAAAUGCAUAAAUGUUUAAAAAUAUAAAAAUUAUAAAAUAUUCAAAAAUAUGUUUUAAAAAUACCUCUAAAAAUAAUCCAAAAAACGUCUACAGUAACAUUUCAAAAACUUCUACAAAAAAGUUUUUCACCUUACAAAAAUUUCUACAAAAUUUUUUCAAAAACUUCUACAGUGCAUUACAGUAAAGUUUUAGACAAACUCCCAAAAAACUGAGGUUCCAAACAGGCCUAUAAGUAGCUAAAUUUAAUGGAUUCCGUUUUAAUCCCUCUCUUUUUCCUCUCUAUUUGUUAAAUUUCAUCCCUAGAAAAAUUGAAAGAAAGAAAAAAAAAUCUCUGAUGGACUGUUGGUAAUAUGCAACGAAUGUCAAUCGGCAGAACUUCAUAUUAGUUUUUGUCAAUUCACAAACAUCCUUGAAGAUGUAAUACAUUGAUCAAAUUUCCCAGUUCCUAGGUUGAGAUGAAAUAUUUAAUCAUUUUAUUAGCAUAGGUUUUCCGGCACAAACCAAACAAAAGAAAAUUAAAAAGAGAGAGAGAGAGAGAGAGAGAGAGACAAUCUUCAAUUCCUAAGUUCCAUGAUUCGUGGAAAACCAAACAAAAGAAAAUAAAAAAAAAAAGACAUUCUUCAAUUCCUUAAGUUUCCAUCAAUUAAACCGUAUGGUAAAUCACCGGUCCGUGGUCAGUCUCAUAAACCAGACCAAACGUUAGUACUCCUGUCUCCUGAUAAAACAAAACGGGGCAGCUCAAAAAAUUGUCAAAAAGUCAAAACUUUAACGUUGGCUCUCUCAAAAAUUCAAAAAUAUUCCUAAAAUAAACCUCCCAUCAACUCCACGUGGCCAAAUCUCAUCCGUCAAGGCAGCCAUCGUCAGCCGGUCAUUUAACCCAUAGGGCUUAAAACUCCUCCCGUCCCGACUCCGCCCCUUCCACAUUUGAAUUCUCCGGACCGUUUUUUCCCCAUUUUCUCUGUCUAAAACCCUUCACUCUCUCCCCUCACUUUCUCUCUUUAACCCCUUCGCCCCCCCUCAUAGAUCUCUUCUUCUCAAUCCGUUUUUCUCCACACCUAUACAUACAGCUGUAUGUACGUAGAUAGCAACAAUUUUGAGAUCUGCUAUGCGCGUUGAUUUGAUUGGAUCAUUCGGGAUUCUGGGUUUCUGCAAGGUUCGAUUUAAUUUUCUGAUUUCGGUAAGUUUUUGUUUUGGGAAAUUUCUUUUCUUUUCUGUGGUUGCUCAAUAUUAGCGGGGAAUUGAAUUAAUGGGGGGGUUUUUGAGAAUUUGAAUUUUUACCUUUUUUGUUUCCCUUAAUGUUGCGUUUGGUUCAUAGCUUUUGAUUUGAUGAAAAUUUCUUGUUUUAGUUCAUUAAUUGUUUGAAUUCGUAGCUGCAAUCCAAAAUACUGGUGAUUUUAGCUAAGAAUCUGAAGUAAAGCUCGAAUUCUGAAAAUCUGUGGUUUGAAUUUCUUGUAUGGUUUUUCAUUUAUUAAACCCUAUUUUUUUUUUUAAAAAUAGUUGAAUGCUGUUUGGAGAAGAUGAACAUCUUUAAUCUAAUUCAAAUUAAUGUUUGUGAAGAGUCAAAAUUUCUGAAUUUUGUUUAAUGGAAAUUUUCAUUAUGAUGGGAUAUCUAGCGAAAUUUUCAGAAUUGUGAAAUGUUUUUAGAAAGCAACACAUCUUUUUUUUUUUUUAAAUGUAUUUAUUUGUUGAUUCUGAUGUAGUUUGUUUAACUGUAACUCGUGUUGUUGGCUUUUUACUGCAGUUAUUAGAAGGAGGAAACUUUUAGGAUAUCAUUUCCAUACCUUUUCUUUGCCUCUUUUUUGGGUUCGGUUCUGACUUAUGAUUCAUGAACAUGAUUUAGCCUCUGAUUUAUCCUGCAAAGUCUUUGGGUGACCUAUAAUGCAUUGGGGGAGACAGUCUGGGGACUAUUGCAGACGUGUGGGAAUUGGGAUAUGCAGAUUUGCGCCUUUGUCAAUCAACUAUGGAAAGUGAUAGGACAAGCACCACUCGUUCAGACGGAGGAAGUGAUAGUCUACCUAGAGUUCGACCUGCACAUGGGUAACCUCUUUAAAUUUUUUGAAACAUCAGAUUUUUUAAUUGAAUUAGAUUUGGCCUUUCAAGUUUGCUAGUUAGUUUGAUAUAACUAAGGAGUUCAUUUAUGUUUUCUUGCCAAAGUCUGUAGUCAUGUCUGGAAAUUAGUGGACCUUAGAUAGCAAUUUUUAUUGGUAGUCAAGUUUCCAUAUUCAUAUACUUGGUGUUCAUGUUGGUCAUUAGUUAUGUCUUCAUCAAAGUGCAUAAGAAAUUCUAUACUCAUUCUCUGUAUUUUGCUUUUGAACUUUUGGUCUUGCACAGAAUUCUAAUUUUAUUUCACUUCUUUUUACCACUUCUAUUGUUUGCUCUUACAAUCUGUUACUGCAUAAGUUUGUAUGAUAGAGAACUAUAGAAUGCAGUUUCAUUAUGGUCUGAUGCUACUGAAUGGUACUUGUAACAAUGUGCAACAUUUUAUAGGAGGACCAGUGGUCCUACAAGGCGCUCCACAAGGGGACAAUGGACUCCAGAAGAGGUAAACAUUCGUUUUCUUUCAUACAUUAGUUAUGUAGGAUCAGUCUUGGUAACUUUCUGGACCGUUGUUUCUAGAAGAUGCAAAUAUGCUUUUCUUAUAUUAAAGAUGGCGUAAGUCCCUCAUUUGCAGCUUCAAGUUGCUAGUUUAAUCAAUGCGAUCAAAACCUUAAUCAUUGUGGACUACUAACAAGUUUGAUGAAGUUUACCUCUUUAGUGUGCUCUAUUCUGAAUAUCUAAUAAUUGCAUGCCUGGAGCAUAUUUUUGACAGUUUUCACUCGUGUCACUGUAAUUCUUCCUUCUAUUCUUUGCUCAUUUUUUCUGUUCUGAUUGAUGAAUGAACACCUAGGCUGCAUAAUUGAAGUUAUUUUUCUCCUCUGAUUUCUUCAAUUAUGUUCUCUUUUUUCCACUUAUGUGCCACUAUCAGAAACUGCCAAGUUUUUCUAAGGACGGUUUGAUUAGUAGCUUGUUAUUGAAAAUAUCUGAGAGCCAUUUUAUGUCUUAAGAUUGGCUUCCUGUAUGCACAAUAUAGCACUUAGUAUACUAAAAUGGGCUCCCCACCGACAAGGCAAAGCUCUGCUUUUGCUCUACCUCCUGGGGAUUAUUAAGGGUGCCUUUUCUUGUUUGAGCUUUUGCUUUUGCUUCAUUUGGUCUCUUUCUGAACCUUUGUGGGCUUAAAAAGAAUAUCCCAGAAAGAGUGAGGGUCUCUCGGGGAGAGGCUCAAGCGUCAGCCUUCGUUGACUCGCUCGAAAGAGAGAGCCAAAAACAUUUUCUUAUUUAUGCUUUGAAGUGUUUAGCUUUUUCAGAACCUCGCCACUUGUGACUUUAUGGUGGCAAGCAUUGAGAUUGGUGUUAAAGUCACGUGCAAGAAGCAUCCCUUGCAGAUUUAUUAUUCUUAUCAUUCUUGCUCCUAUUUAUGCGCCCACCCUUCUAACCACCGACUGUAAAUGCAUAUUGGCAUGAAUAGCUUUGCUUUUUGUCAACUCCCAGUGGAAACUAGCAAUGCUGUAACCAUUAACCAAGUCUGGGCUUUGAUGUAUUUUCUUAACAACAUUUUUACCUGCAGGACGAGAUAUUGAGACAAGCUGUACAACGUUUCAAAGGGAAAAACUGGAAAAAGAUAGGUACAUUGUUUCCUGUAAAUUAUAUGAGCCUAGAUGCCUAGUGCCUAAAAAGCAAAAGAAGUAUGUAUAAGGUGUUGCAUGUUUUCCUAUCCGCUAUCCCAUUAGAUUUAGUGGGUAUGCAUUGGGAAAUAUUUGAUAGAGCAGGAUAAUCUAGGAUAUUGUAAAGAAAAAGAGAAAUGAUUAUUGAUCUCUUAUUGACAAGUUAAAAUUCUAAAUUAAUUUUCUAUUACCUAUUCCUUCAUCAACACUUUUUAACCUUUUACAUAAUAGAAUAUAAUCUGCACAAGGAAUGUAGAAAAACCUUUUAGAUAGUAUUUUAUCAGGGAAAGUGGGAAACAUGUUAAGAAUGAAGCUUUGCUUUAUGCAGCGGAAUGUUUCAAGGAUCGGACAGAUGUGCAGUGUUUGCACAGGUGGCAGAAGGUUCUCAAUCCUGAACUUGUUAAAGGUCCAUGGUCUAAAGAAGUAAGAUGCUGUUAUUUUUGCUUCCUUGGAAAGUUGGGUUUGUUAACUGUCUAAAAUCCAUGUUAUUCAUCAACAUUCUGUCAGUUUUAAAAGUUUAUGAUUGUCAAGUAACCGUUUCUCUAAAUGCAGGAAGAUGAAAUAAUUAUUGAGUUAGUGAACAAGUAUGGGCCAAAAAAAUGGUCCACCAUUGCACAACAUUUACCUGGACGAAUAGGAAAGCAGUGUCGGGAAAGGUUAGCUAGCUGCAAAUAUAUAUUAGGUUACUUCUUACUUUACCAGAAUUUCUGCUUUGUGGAAUGCUUUAUGUCUUUCUAGAGUUAAACUAAGUUAAAAGCGAGGAAGCUGCUUUUGCCUUUUCAUCUUGAUUACCAUGUCUCAUCAUGUUUCCUUCAAUUUUGUAUCUCUUCAAAAUGGGAAAAAUUUGAUGUUGCUGGCUACGCAUUUAUGGAAGAAGCUGUAUCCAGACAAAUUUAUGGCAGUCUUUUGGGUUCUUAUGAUAAAACUAUUUCAUUAUCCUCUCCAGCCUGUGUCAUUUUUUUCAUUGAAUUGUCCUUUUGGAGGCUAUGCAAAAUUUUCUCAUUUCUGGUUCAGUAUAACUUAUUUUUAAAGGCAAAAUAUUGACACAAGGAUUCAGUUUUGUGAUAACCUGAAUGUUGCUUUCUCAUUACAUUGAAGUACUUUUUAUGUGAUUAAUGUGGAUCAUCUUUCUUAGAACUGUGGAUUGGCUACUUUACCACCUUUCCUGUUUGAACUACUAGUUUUGCUUUUAGUAAUUUGAUCAGUCUAUUUAAGUCUCUAAGAAGAUAAUUUCAAAUAAUGUGGUGGCUGUCAAGUCAUCUUUUCAGUUUGGGGACCAUAUUUACUGAUAGUAAUUUGAUUAGUCUAUAUGAGUCUCUAAGAAGGUGCUUCUAAUUUCUUCUAUUUACAUAGUUUAUUCUCUUCUUUUCAUUUUAUAUGAUAAUUAGAUGGCACAAUCAUCUUAAUCCUGGGAUCAAUAAAGAAGCUUGGACACAAGAUGAGGAACUGGCUCUUAUUCGUGCUCAUCAAAUCUAUGGAAACAAGUGGGCUGAGCUGACAAAGUUCUUGCCUGGAAGGUACUUUCUUUUACUUAGAGGGAGGGGGAGACGGAGGGGGAAAUAUGCAUUUCAGUAGCCUUUCUGGAUGUUAUUGCGGAAUUCGAUGCUUUACCUUCUAUCUAAUCCAUCUUGGGUUUUAUGAUCUUGAAUUUGUUUUGUUUGCAUGAGUUCACAUUGAGUUUGACCUUACUGAUUUUGGGACUAUGUCUCUAUGAUUAUCAGGACAGACAAUGCAAUUAAGAAUCACUGGAAUAGCUCAGUGAAAAAGAAGUUGGACUCCUAUUUGGCAUCAGGAUUGCUUGCACAGUUCCAAGGCCUGCCAAAUGCCAUUCAUCCAAAUCAAUCUGCAGCUGCUGCUUCUUCAAAGACACAGCAGAGCAGUGAAGAUGAUAGUGUUCCCCGAGAUGGUGCAGAAAUGGAGGAUGUUUCACAGUGUAGUCAGGGUUCUACUGCUGUUGGAUGUUCAAGCUCUACAAGUGAGAUGGCCAACACAAAUGUCUAUGCUAGAGAAGACUGCUUUGAACAUAAUUUGCAAGACUGGGAUCCUUCCAUAGGGAAAGAUUGGCAACUUACCCAGAAUGAAUUGCCGGACAUGUCUUCAUUGGAUUUAGGGCAGGAAGCUUCUGGACAAUUUAUGCUAUCUUCAUCCGGGCAGUUUAUCCAUGAAUUAGUUAACUUUCCGCUCCAAAGUUCUAUGGGUUUAAGUAAUUCCACUUCCAUGGUAAACAUGGUCUUGGGUUCUGAUAAACCAGAUCAAUUCUUAACCACUGAAGUUGGAUGUUCUAGGAUUGUGUACCCUGAAGUCAGAAAUGAUGGUUCUUUUGCCCCUGAAAGUAGUCCAGUUAAUGAAGCAACAGAUUCUCUGCUAUACCAAACAUCAAGCUAUCAUGUAACUUUCCCAUCUCAAUCCUGCAACCCUUUGCAAUCUGAUGUGCUGGGAACUUCAUUUGGGGAACCAUUUUCAGUACCUUCACAACUGCCUUCUGACGAUGGAUCACUUAUAUUCAAUAUUGAUCCAAAUCUCUUCAAUGAUUCUUCAGUCGGAAACUCAGAAAAGGAGUGUUUUACAGGUAGAUAUGAUGGCUUUAUCUAUAGCAAUGACUCUGGUGGUUCUACUAAUAAUCAUACUGAAUUUGGGAUGCUAGUUCAACCAGUGGAGGGAAAGGAUUCUGCAAAACUUGUUCCUGUUAAUGAUUUUGGCUUAACACCACCAAAGGACAUUCAGACUUCUCCACCUGUGGAAGAACACCCUGUCAUAUCUGAUGAACAGAAGGAUUCAGGCGCUUUGUUUUAUGAACCCCCACGCUUUCCAAGCCUGGAUGUCCCAUUCUUUAGUUGUGAUCUCAUUCAGUCUGGUAAUGAUAUGCAGCAGGAGUACAGCCCUCUUGGUAUCCGCCAGCUCAUGAUGUCUUCUGUGAAUUGUCUUACUCCAUUUAGGUUGUGGGAUUCACCAUCAGGGGAUGAUAGUCCAGAUGCUGUUCUCAGAAGUGCAGCGAAAACAUUCACGUGCACACCAUCCAUAUUGAAGAAGCGGCAUCGUGAUUUGGUUUCACCCUUGUCAGAAAAGAGGUGUGAGAAGAAGCUGGAAAGCGAUGUAAAUCAGGAGUCAUUCUCUACCUUGACCAGAGACUUUUCUCGACUAGAUGUUAUGUUUGAUGAAACCCAGAAUGAAAACCAGUCGAUGCUUUCUCCAACAAACCAAGGAAGCAAUUGUGAAAUGUUGUUAACUGAGGAUAAAGAAAACUUAGUUCCUGCCACCACAGAGGGAGACAAAGAGGAUGUAAAGGUUGAUUCUCCAUCUUCGGCAAAUAUAGUUUUGGAGAAACAUACCAAUGCUAAUUUUCCUCUAGACAAGGUGAGGCAACAGACUGGUGCAAUAGAUAGUAAAAGUCUUAACAAAAUCACAUGCACUUAUUGAAACUGUGAGAAUUGAGUUCUUUCUAAGUUUUGUAACAUUUCUUUCAGGUGAGUUUGUUCCAUUAGUGUAGGCUGAAAAUGACACCCACCUAAUUUUGACCCUUAUCUAAUAUAGCAUUUAGCAGAUUGUAAAUAUUUGGAUCUUUAGUUUGUUAGACAAAUGAUUUCAGUCAAGGGGUGGUCAGUCACCAUUUGUACUCUUAACCUUCAAAUUAAACUCUUGUUAAAAUUGGUUUCAGAUGAACCCCUUCUUUUCAGGCUAGCUGGUUUUAGGAAAUAGCGCAUAUAUUCUAGCUGAUGUGCCAUAUUCAGGAAUUGACUUAAUUAUUCUUUAUACAUAACUUUUAAUUUUUUCUUAAUUUUAUUUCCUUUUUCCUCUUUUUACCCCUUUUUUCUUUUCUGUUAUUCAGAUGAACCAGCCUUCUGGUGUCCUUGUUGAACAUGACAUGAACGAUUCUUUAUUCUUCUCUCCUGACCGAUGUGGAACAACAAGUGAUAAAGCAUUUGGUCUGAGUGCUAAAGCAUGUGGUAACAAGUACUCUGGAAGACUAGAUGCUGGAUUGCACAAAGGAGCAGCUUCAUCAGAGACUCGAUGUUUGUCUAUUGUUUGUUCACCUCGGAUAUCUGGAAAGAAGGAUGGUCUUAAUGUGGUCACCACUGCAUCAAUGCAAGUAGCUUCCUCAUCAACCCCGAUGGGGAAGAAGGUUGAAACUUCAGGGAACAUUUGUGGUGUUGAAAACAUUAGCAUGUACGGUGACUGCAGCUUUUUACUUCUGAAUCACUUCAGUUUCUUUUAUUAGCCUUCUGUACAAUUAGCUGCACCUGAUUAGUAGUUUUGUUUUCUUUUUUUUUUUCCUUGUAGAUUUGGAGAAACACCUUUUAGAAGAAGUAUAGAAUCUCCUUCUGCCUGGAAGUCCCCGUGGUUCUUUAAUACUUUUCUGCCAGGCCCAAGAGUUGAUACAGACAUCACAAUUGAGGUACUAAACAUUCUGAGAGAUAGUUGUUUUGCACCUUUGAGUGGGUGCUUUUAGCUGUUUCUUUUUUGAGUUUGAUUGUGAUGGCUGAAAUAUUACAGGAUAUUGAGUAUCUUAUGAGCCCUGGCGACAGAAGCUACGAUGCUCUUGGGUUGAUGAAGCAGUUGAGUGAGCAUACUGCUUCAGCAUUUGCAAAUGCACAGGAAGUUUUGGGGGAUGAAACUCCUGAAACCAUACUGAAAAAAAGCAGCAAAAUCCUGAAUGCUGAUAAACAGCAGAAUGACCUUUUGAAAUGUCAACAGGAGCAUCAUUCAACCGUGGGAUCAAAUGUCAUGGUAUGGUUAAAUUCCAAUAUUGCUGAUGAAAUUAUCCCUUAAAAAAAAGGUGUGGUUUAAGAAAGUUGAAAGCAUCUACCAACUUUUGAGUUUUUUGUCCACUCCACCACAAAAUAAAACUAUCCUAAGCUGGAGCCUCUGCUCUGUAUAAUCCAUCUUCAGAUUUCUGCUUCAGCUGUCUUGGUAUUCUCUAUUACAUUUUGGUCAGAUACAAGAAGCACACUUGUCUUUACUGCAUGCCGCCUCUAGAUUCAACAGGAGCAUGGAUAGUACACUGUUAUUUGUCCAUUUCAAAAGCUUAUAUUGUAUACACUGGCAUUUGCAGACGGAGUGCCGAACACUCGAUUUUAGUGAAUGUGGGACACCUGCAAAAGGAGCGGAGACUGGGAAAUUGUCAACAGGUGUUAGCUUCUCAAGUCCCUCUUCGUAUCUGUUGAAAGGUUGCAGGUAAUGGUAGCACUUGCAGGUUCCUGCAGAAGUGUAUAGUGGCAUUUGCUGACAGAGUGGAGAGCUCUUGAUUUUAGUGCUGUGAGACACCUGGAAAAGGAGCAGAAACUGGGAAAUUGUCGAUAGCCAUUAUAUUCUCAAGUCCUCUUUGUAUCUGUUGAAAGGUUGCAGGUAGCAGCAGCAGCUGGCAGGUUGUUACAGCAGUGCUUGCUGGUGUAUAAAAAUGAAAGAUGUACACAGUCGUGAUUCUACCAUUCUAUAUAGUUCCUAGAACCAUAUCUUGUUAAGAUUAAUGUAUUUUGUGAAAUCAAUUGUUAAAGAAUGUUCUUUGGCGUCCAAUAAACAAUGCUUGCACUUGAGUUAUAUGGACAAACUUCAUCGUGAAUAGGGACAACAAACAGAUAUUGCUUUGUCUCUUCCAGUUCUAUUUUGGGGCUUGUCUGCCUGUGGUAAUGUCAGGUUUCAGCUACAAAUUGUCUGUCCUUAUAUUGCCUUGUCCAUUGUGUCCCUUGCCAUAUUUGCAGCGGUCGAAACAAAUCCUAACGUGGCUGCUUGCCUCUGUCCAAGUGUUGGUUCGGUUUCUAACUCCAGUUAGAAAAGCCUAACAUUGCCGCACAUCAGUAAAUAUCACCCAGUUUUUUUUUUCCCUUUUUUUGCUAGACACAAUCUUUAUAUUCAUUUUGGUUGGUUCCAAAAUGUUUGUCACUUGCCACAAAUGAUUGUGUACUUUAUCAAUAAUUUCCAAAGCUUACCCCUGUCUCACCUAACUAAAAAGUACCCAAAAAGUCUUCUACCAAAACUUGCAACUUUGUUAUUCAGUUGAUUGAGAUGCACGUACUACUAACCAUUUUGAAAUGAUUGCCUUUUCGUGUUUUCACACUCUAAUUCUAGCUAGAAUAAGUCAUGUGAACCAAUAAAUAUAUGGACUCUGCUGUCAUGUUUUGUCCAUCUAUUAUCCAUCUUUUUGUGUUCAAAUGAAGGGCAAAAUGGAAAGUGUGAUGAAUUCUUCAAAAAUUAGACACUUGUUGAUAAUAAGUUGUCACUUUUCGGGACGGAGGGAAUAAUUAAUUAUAGUAACAGUUGAAGUUUAAUUAAAUAGCAUGCUUAAAAAACAAAAAAGGAAAAUGAUUCUUUAUAAAUACGUGAAAGGCAAACACCAAGAUCCACAAAGGGAAGUAAAAGGAUUUGCUAGAGCUUACUCUCUUUAGCAAAAGAAGUUGUGAUUAAAACUGUCAGUUAUAUUAUAUUAUGUUUGUCUUUAAAAAUAAAACUAAUGAAAAGAAGUUUCUUAAGUUGAGAUGGACUUGUGUAGAAAAACAGUCAAAUAACAAGCUCAGUCAUACUCUUAAGAAAACAGCAGCACAAAGAUCUUCGUCAACUUCUGUGAUAGGAAAAAAUUGGCCUCAGAUGCCAUUUCAUUUGAUUGUAAUAUGUAAAGUAGAUAGGAUUAAUUAAAAUUAUAAAUGAUGAAUUCAAGUUAUAUACUACCCUUGUGACAUAUAGAUGCGACAUAUAGAUACUAGAUGAAUCUUGUAGAAACAAGUUUUUUAAAAGAUAGAAAAAUAAUGUUAGUCAUUGUUUGGCAAAAUUUGACACGCAACUCAUUUAAGAAUGUUUUGUGAAAAUUACACUGUAUAUUAUGACUAGCAAGAGAGGUACAAAAUAUUCCUGGAGACUCGACGCAUUAUUUAUAAAUGCUUUGUAAAGGCUAAUUUUAUGUCGACGGAGAAAACAGGCGAGGCUUUCACACAACACAAAAGAAAAGAGAACAAAAAAGAUCCCCUUUGGCCAUUGCAACAUGACGUCAUCCUAAGCAAGGGACCAACCUGUAGAGGACUUGAAGCUGCCAACUUUGGUGGAAAGUUAAUUUCUUCGAAAUUGUUGGACUUUCAGUGCAAUAUGGUCUAUGGCUAUGUUGCACAUUCAAGAAGGUGAAAGAUCUAGGAAAGCUUAAUCAUAGAAUUUGUUAUGGGGGUUUUAUUUUUGUGGGGUCUUGGGGGGGGGGGGGGGUUCUUGUUUUCCUAAAUUCUUGAACUUGUCCGACUGUAACGUUUAUAAAUUACAGCUGCAAUCAAUCCAAUGGAAUUUUGCUGAUCUAGUAAAUGUAAAAAAUACUAGCUUUGAUUCAUAUGUAGCCAUUCGAGAUAUCUGAAGAUCUCUGCUUGAAUUUGCUAAAGAAUUUCUAGUAAAUGUAAAACACCAAUAUUGAUUAUAAGUAACCCAAAAAGAAAAUGAGAAAAAGUUUUUAUCUUUCAUCCAGAUGAUGAGAAAAAAAUUUAACUUUCAUCCGGAAGGAGCCAUUCGAGAAAUAUCAUCCCUGCUUCAAUUUGCUAGAAAAUCUAGCUGAAGUAUAGGCCGCAAUUUCAGUCCCCAAGAAAGGGCUUGAGACCAAAUAUGGAACGUGUUAAAAGACGCUACAUGUCCAGUCACUUUCCAAGCAUGUACUUAAUUCUCUUUGCCAGAUUGUUUUCCAGGGAUUUUCAUCUGGUUGAAACUUUCACUGAAUAUGGUAAGCAAACAAACACCACAGAAGCUGCACAUCAAGAAAACAACUAUGCCAUUGCAAUUUUAUCGCCCAAAAAUCGGUUUGAGUUAUGAAUACUGAAGACUUUUUUUUUUCUUAAUCAAAAACUGAGUCAGACUAUUACUCUUUAAUUUCUGACGUUCUUGGGGUUAUUAUUAUUACAACAAAAUGGGGUUUACAUGGUAACUUAAGGGGAAGGAUGCUCAAUAUAGACGGAUGGUAACCACUCUUUCAGGCAACUUUU
rnacentral:lncRNA from 1 species